UACAGCAUUAAAAGGAUGCUUAAGCAUUAAGACUUCAUAUGGGCGUUUAAAAACGAAAUAUUGUAGGGAGCAAGUUAUUAUGUUUAGAUCUGCAAUUCCCCAUAAAUUCGGAAAACUGAUCUUCAACUAAAGAAGAAUUACUUGAAAUCAAUUUUUAAGUAAAAGAUUUGGUGAACUGAAUCAUCUAAGUAACCAAAAUUCAAAAAUCAAACGAGGUGCUGCUAGUAGUGGCGAGCGAACGUAGUAAUAGACUUGAAAAUUAAUGAAUUUAUUUAAUAUUUGUAAUAGCCAUAGCAUGGUAACCUAAAAGAUAGGACAGCCCUGUGAAAUAAAUUUUAGAUUUUCAUCUAGUAAAAUAAACUAAGUCAUAGUUUGUUUGAAUAUUGGGGGACCACCCUCAAAGUCUAAAAAUCUUAAUGACUGAUAGUGAAUAGUACCGUGAGGGAAAAGUGAAAAAGACUUUGCGAAAGUGAAAAGACUUUGAAAUUUAAUGCUAACAAUCUGUCGUAGUUUUUAAAAAUGACGACGUACCUUUUGCAUAAUGGACCAACAAGUUUAUUUUAGUGGCGAGCUUAAGUAAUUAGAUACGUAGGCGCAAAGAAAUUAAGUUUUAAAAGGCUAUUUUUAGUCUCUAGAAUAAGACCCGAAACUAAGUGAUCUAGUCAUGAACUGGUUGAAGUUUAGGCGGAAACGCCUUUCGGAGGACCGAACCCGUGUAUGUGGAAAAAUACUGGGAUGAUUUGUGAUUAGGGGUGAAAGGCCAAUCAAACUUAGAGAUAGCUGGUUUUCUGCGAAAUCUAUUUUAGUAGAGCGUUUAAAUAACUUUUUUAAAGGUAGAGCUCUCGAUAAACGAUGGGGACUUAACGUUUUACUGAAUUUAUUGAAACUUCGAAUGUUAAUUAUAAUGAAUUUAAACAGACAGACUGUGAGUGCUAAGAUUCAUGGUCAAGAGGGAAACAGCCCAGAUUACUAACUAAGGCUCUUAAAAAUAAUUAAGUGAAAAAAUUGUGAAAAAAUGUUGACAACCGAAAAGUAGGCUUAGAGGCAGCCACCUUUUAAAGAAAGCGUAACAGCUCAUUGGUUUAGUUUUUUUGCGUUGAAAAUGUAUGGAACUAAAAUUAUUUGCCGAAGUUGUAAAUUUAUGAAAAUUAAAUGGUAGCAGAACGUUCUGUAAGUCUAAGAAGUUUUAUAGUUAUAUAAAAUGGAGACAUCAGAAAUGAUAAUGUUGGUAUGAGUAACGACAAACAAUGUGUAAAACAUUGUCGCCUUAAGUUCAAGGUUUCCAAAACAAGGCUAAUCCGUUUUGGUAUACAAUUUAUUGUUAAUCGGUCUCUAAGGACAAGAACGAAAGUUCUGAUUCAAUGAGAAAAAAAUUAUUUUUUAUUUCUUAAAAGUGACAAAAUAUGAAUGUUAUUUCUAUUUCAUGGUUUAAAUAAAAGUUUCAUAGUAUUUUCUGGAAAUAGCUUUUAAGUUUAUUAACCGUACCCCAAACCGACACAGGUGAACAAGUUUAGUAAACUAAGGCGCUUGAGAGAACUAUGUUGAAGGAACUCGGCAAAAUGACUCCGUAACUUCGGAAUAAGGAGUGACUUUAUAAGGGCAACCUUAUAGAGUUGUCACAAAAUCGGGGACAGCGACUGUUUAUUAAAAACACAGGUUUCUGCUAAUUCGCAAGAAGACGUAUUGAAACUGACGCCUGCCCAGUGCUGCAAGAUUAAAGGAAAAAGUCAUUUGGCUUUGACCCUAACUCCCAGUAAACGGCGGCUGUAACUCUGACGGUCCUAAGGUAGCGAAAUUCCUUGGCAUUUGAUUGGUGUCCUGCAUGAAUGGCGUAACGACUGUCCUACUGUCUCCAACAUAGACUCAGUGAAAUUGAAUUUUUCGUGAAGAUGCGAAAUUCUUGCAGCUAGACGGAAAGACCCCGUGCACCUUUACUGCAGUUAUACAUUGUAAUAAGAUUUUUUUUGUGUAGCAUAAGUGGGAAGUUAUUAAUUAUAGCUCUUUGCGCAAGCAAAUAAGUUAAACAUCAUUGAAAUACCACUCUAAAAAUUUUUUAUUACUUAUUGUUUAAGACAGUGUAUAAUGGGUAGUUUGACUGGGGCGGUCGCCUCCUAAAGAGUAACGGAGGCGUACAAAGGUAAACUUAAGUUGAACUUUAACAACUUUAAAGCAUAAUAGUAUAUGUUUGCCUGACUGUAAGAUUGACAAAUCAAGCAGGGACGAAAGUCGGUUAUAGUGAUCCGAUGAUUCUGAGUGGAAAUGGUCAUCGCUCAACGAAUAAAAGGUACGCCGGGGAUAACAGGCUAAUCACCCUCUAGAGACCAUAUCGACGGGGUGGUUUGGCACCUCGAUGUUGGAUUAUCGCAUCCUGGAGCUGAAGAAGGUUCCAAGGGUUUGGCUGUUCGCCAAUGAAGGCGGUACAUGAUCUGAGUUUAGAACGUUGUGAAACAGUUUGGUCCCUAUCUACUGCAAGUGCAAAAAAUUGAGAGGGGUAAACCUUAGUACGAGAGGACCGGGAAAAGUAAAUCCAUGGUGAAUCGAUUGUUAUACCAAUAGCAUAGUCGAGUAGCUACAUUUAUAAUAAAUAAUCACUGAAAGCAUCUAAGUGAGAAAUUAGCCUCAAUACAAAUUUUUUUUUAAAACGUGAUAGACUAUUACGUUGAUAGGCCUGGUGUGUAAGAAUUGUAAGAUUUUCAGCUAACAGGUACUAAAUUAAUUUUAAAAUACUUUUUAUA
rnacentral:rRNA from 1 species